rnacentral:rRNA from 1 species
CAGUCGAGGGGCAGCGGGGAGGUAGCAAUACUUCCGCCGGCGACCGGCGCACGGGUGAGUAACACGUAUGGAACCUGCCCGUAGCAGGGGGAUAAGCGGAAGAAAUUCCGUCUAAUACCGCGUAAUAACUCCGAGAGGCAUCUCUUGGGGUCUAAAGGGUAACACCGGCUACGGAUGGCCAUGCGGCGCAUUAGCUAGUUGGCGGGGUAACGGCCCACCAAGGCGACGAUGCGUAGGGGUUCUGAGAGGAAGGUCCCCCACACUGGUACUGAGACACGGACCAGACUCCUACGGGAGGCAGCAGUGAGGAAUAUUGGUCAAUGGGCGCGAGCCUGAACCAGCCAAGUCGCGUGAGGGAAGACGGUCCUAUGGAUUGUAAACCUCUUUUGUCGGGGAGCAAAAGACGUCACGUGUGGCGUUCCGAGAGUACCCGAAGAAAAAGCAUCGGCUAACUCCGUGCCAGCAGCCGCGGUAAUACGGAGGAUGCGAGCGUUAUCCGGAUUUAUUGGGUUUAAAGGGUGCGCAGGCGGAAGAUCAAGUCAGCGGUAAAAUUGAGAGGCUCAACCUCUUCGAGCCGUUGAAACUGGUUUUCUUGAGUGAGCGAGAAGUAUGCGGAAUGCGUGGUGUAGCGGUGAAAUGCAUAGAUAUCACGCAGAACUCCGAUUGCGAAGGCAGCAUACCGGCGCUCAACUGACGCUCAUGCACGAAAGUGUGGGUAUCGAACAGGAUUAGAUACCCUGGUAGUCCACACAGUAAACGAUGAAUACUAAUUGUUCGGGGAGAAUGAUCCCUGAGUGAUACAGCGAA